GGUUCCAGAAGUACAGGCCCUACAUAUGUAU
rnacentral:piRNA from 1 species